UAAGGAAUAUUGGACAAUGGUCGCAAGACUGAUCCAGCCAUGCCGCGUGCAGGAUGACGGCGCUCAGCGUUGUAAACUGCUUUUGUUCGGGAAAAAAAUCUGCUAUUCUUAGCGGACUGAUUGUACUGAAAGAAUAAGGGACGGCUAACUUCGUGCCAGCAGCCGCGGUAAUACGAAGGUCCCAAGCGUUAUCCGGAUUUAUUGGGUUUAAAGGGUGCGUAGGCGGGUUAUUAAGUCAGUGGUGAAAGCUCCAUGCCUAACAUGGAAAUUGCCAUUGAUACUGAUGAUCUUGAGUACAUUUGAAGUGGGCGGAAUGUGUCAUGUAGUGGUGAAAUACUUAGAUAUGACACAGAACACCGAUUGCGUAGGCAGCUCACUAAACUGUAACUGACGCUGAGGCACGAAAGCGUGGGGAGCAAACAG
rnacentral:rRNA from 1 species